UACCCGCAGCUCGAGGGGAAGCCGCUAUUAUUGAGCCUAAAGCGUUUGUAGCCGGCUUUGUAAAUCCUUGGGUAAAUCGAGUCGCUUAACGGUUCGAAUUUAAGGGAGACUGCAAGGAUAGAGACCGGGAGAGGUCAGAGGUACUUUCGAGGUAGGAGUAAAAUCCCGUAAUCCCGAAGGGACCACCUGUGGCGAAGGCGUCUGACUAGAAAGGCUCUGACGGUGAGGAACGAAGGCUAGGGGAGCAAACCGG
rnacentral:rRNA from 1 species